AGUGAACGCUGGCGGUAGGCCUAACACAUGCAAGUCGAACGGCAGCACAGUAAGAGCUUGCUCUUAUGGUGGCGAGUGGCGGACGGGUGAGGAAUACAUCGGAAUCUACUUUUUCGUGGGGGAUAACGGUAGGGAAACUUACGCUAAUACCGCAUACGACCUACGGGUGAAAGCAGGGAUCUUCGGACCUUGCGCGAUUG
rnacentral:rRNA from 1 species